rnacentral:rRNA from 1 species
CCUACGGGUGGCAGCAGUGGGGACUAUUGCGCAAUGGGCGAAAGCCUGACGCAGCGACGCCGCGUGAGGGAUGCAGGUCUUCGGAUCGUACACCUCUGUCAGCAGGGAAGAACGGUCACUGUGCUAAUCAGCAUUGAAUUGACGGUACCUGCAAAGGAAGCACCGGCUAACUCCGUGCCAGCAGCCGCGGUAAUACGGAGGGUGCGAGCGUUAAUCGGAAUUACUGGGCGUAAAGCGCUCGUAGGCGGUAUGUCAAGUCAAGGGGGAAAUCCCCGCGCUCAACGUGGGAACUGCCUUUGAAACUGGCAAACUGGAGUGUGUGAGAGGAUAGGGGAAUUCCAGGUGUAGGAGUGAAAUCCGUAGAUAUCUGGAGGAACAUCAGUGGCGAAGGCGACUAUCUGGCACAUAACUGACGCUGAGGAGCGAAAGCGUGGGUAGCAAACAGGAUUAGAUACCCUGUAGUC